GCCCUCGAAAACAUUUAAUAAAAUUGGAAUGAUGCAGAGAAGAUCAACAUGGCCCUUAUGCAAGGAUGACACAUACAAAUCGAGAAAUGGUCCAAGUUCUG
rfam:Picea glauca, whole genome shotgun sequence.